GACAGAACUUUAGACAAUUCCCUCUGAGUUGAGUUUUUACUAAUAGGGUUUUUAAAGAACUAUUUCUAAAAUUACAAAUGGUUUGGUUUAUUGAUUUUUUAUUUUUUUUUUUGUCUGCAUGGAUUUGACAUGAAUAUGCAACAAGGUAUGUAAAGACAUUGUUUACAAACAGCCAGUAGCUUUCAAGAUUAAUUUAAAAUAUUAAAUUAUAUAGAUACAAUAGGGAGACAUCUUUAAAGAGGAACCCCUAGAUGUAGUUGGAAGAGAAAAUAGUAUUCUAAUACUAGUUUUAUUUUUAAAAGUCCAAUUUAACAUGCAGAAAAGAGAAGUUCAAGUCUCUGAAGUGUGUGGUUAUUUGAGUUUUAGAGUUUUAUUCACUGAUACUGCAAUCUAUGUCUCCUUUAUGUAUAUUUCUUAUUUUUUCUGGUAAAUUAAAACUAUCAAAAGUUGCUCAGAGUCUCUUGAGGUUUUCUUUUGGUUUAAGGUUUGUAGGCAAAAAUUUUUAAUUGGUGAUACACAUAUGUAACAGAGGUGCAAUGAUUUGAAGGAGGAAAAUAUAUCACAAAAUAGGAAUUUUUUAAUAACUAUAAUUGAUUUCCUUAUUCCUAGAAAGGAAGAGUCUACAGCCCAUUUCUGGCAGUAUUUCAUGCCAUUUGAAACAGAGAGAAUUUUAUGAGGGGAAGGAGGAGCUGGGAGAGCAAUCUCAGCUUAUUCACUCAGAAUAAGAUGAGCUGAGCCUGGUAAAUGUAACCUGAUGAGAACCAUUGACCCAAACAAACUGUCCAGGCUGAAUUUCCAAUCCCAUCCUACCAACGCUGCUGUCUGUUACCACAGGUCAGGGAAAAAAAAGACAGAAAGUCUGGGAGAUGUGCAAAAGCUACAAUGGGUUCCCAAAUUAAAACCCUGUGUUUUAUUGCAGGUAAAAUCCACACUCCCAGUGCAGCACAGCCUUGUCAGAAAUGGUGGAGGUGAAAGUUACCGUGAAAGGGAGUAAGUUUUCUGUGUCUGUCAGCAAAUCUAUCCCAGCCUCAAGAAGACAUUUUAGCAAUGGUACUGAUCCCUCCAAACACAGCAAAAGAAAGUAAUUCUGACAAAUUUGCAUCCCAAAACAGGUAUGAAAGUGCCUAAAUUGCUUUGAAAUACAUAAUCCUAAUUCUGACUUUUC